UGGGGCGUAGCUCAGCAGUAGAGCAUUUGUUUCCUAUGCAUGAAGGCCUGGGUUUGAUCCCUGGCAUUACAA
rnacentral:tRNA from 1 species